rnacentral:rRNA from 1 species
AACGAACGCUGGCGGCGUGCCUAAAACAUGCAAGUCGCACGAGAAAGUAUUUAUACGAGUAAAGUGGCGCACGGGUGAGUAACACGUGGAUAACAUACCUUCGAGACUGGUAUAACAGUUGGAAACGACUGAUAAUCCCAGAUAAAGUUUAGAAUACAUUGGGGUAUUUUUGAAUGAAAGCGGGCCUUCGGGUGUCGGCUUGAAGAGUGGUCUGCGUCCCAUUAGCUAGUUGGUGAGGUAAAGGACUCAUCCAAGGCAUUGAUGGGUAGCUGGUCUGAGAGGACGAUCAGCCACACUGGGACUGAAACACGGCCCAGAUCCUACGGGAGGCAGCAGUUUAGGGAAUAUUGCGCAAUGGAGGGAACUCUGACGCGAGCGACGCCGCGUGAGCGAAG